UAUUCUCAGGGUAUCAUGUGUCUCACGGAUUCAGAUUUCAUGUGCUCAUUGUCCGAUUCAUAUUUAUUACUUAAUUUAAUUAAUUAAUGUUUAUUUUCAGGAGAAUCACCCAGAUGAUGAAUCCUAGACGUUCAUGUGAGUUGAAUAUGUGAUUUUGGUUUAUACACGAGGAUUUGGGGACCCAAUAUUGUUGGGUUUAAAAAAACACUGCUUAAAUUACAGAUAUAAUUAAUAAUCUUUUAUAAGAAAACUCCUAAUUCUAAGGUAGCAUGUCUUGCAAGUAAGGAGUUUUUUUUUUUUUUUUUUUUUUUUUUUUGGUUGUCAACAGAAGAUUUAUAUUAUACAAAAUUUGAAAGACAAUUACAACUGGAAAUCAUAUCCAAGUUGGCCAAAAAAAAAAUUGGGUUUUAUGGAUCCCUAGUAAAUGCGUGCUUGUAGUCUUUAUAGCAGGAGAUAUUAUUAAUUUCUUGUAAUUAAAACUUGCAUAUUAAUUUAAUCCCAUAUGCCUCCUAUUUCAGCGCUUCUGCCAAAGCAUUUUAGCUGGCUCAUGUCUGCCCUUGAUUAAUGCGACCUUGUCUGGGCUCUUAAGCAAAAAUUGAAAAUUUCUUCUUGGAUGAUUGGACUAAUUAUAAAUAAUAUGUCCCACGAGCAUGGCACUUCUCUAUUUUCACGAUCAUCUUACUACCUGCCGCAUGAUUGAUUAUCAAGAGAUUAAUAAUAUUUUUUCAAAGUCCUUGAAUUAAUGUAGUUCAGUCGACUGUGAGUGCAUUUUUUUUUUUUCCUUCUCAAUCCAUUCAUACGAAAGAAUUUCAAAUUGCGUACUUUUUAUUUAAACACAAAACUUUACCAACUAAAUCCACUAACGUAAUGUAUUGUAUAUUAAAACAAUCCCAAGUAGCCUGAUCAUUAAAAGCAACAUGUGAUUGCUCCAUGUUAAAAAGAUAAGAAUAUAUUUAGUGAAAUUUAGAGGUAAAAGAAUAUUAAAAAUGUAAAACGAAAAUGGACAAGUCAAAACAGAUGAAGGGACAAAAGGGGCUAGGGCCAGCAAUAAGGUAGUCACUGAAGAAGUCAUACGCAUAUAGAGAGGCAUCGUCACAUGGGAGUACCAAUCAUGAAGAGAUGCAGAUGAGACAAUGGCAGGGGAUUUGGUGGAGCCAUUUAAAUGCACAACUCAUUUGUAGGCUUUUGAUCCAUCAGCAUUCACCAAACCUUUUCUUUAAAGUCUUUCCUUUAAUCAAAGAAAAAGAUAAAAAGAGUUAGAGAAAAAGAAGAAGAAGAAGAAACUCAACUCAGUCCAUCAAAAUCAAUCUCAUAAAAUAAAAAUAAAACAGUAUGAUAUACCCACAUUAUUUAAAAUGUGUGUGUGUGUGUGUGUGUCUAUCCUUAUAUAUGUAAACUUAUACAUAAAAUUGCUGCUUAUUCUGACCAAGGAAUGACAACUUGGAACCUUGUUGGUGAUUUUCAUGACAAUCCCACCUGUGCCCCUUUGCCCCUUUAUUUAAUGCAUUCAUUUGCUCCUGCAAGCAAACAAUUUUUCUUUUUUUCAAAGAUAUAUAUUUGUUUUUUAAUUAUGCAAUUUUUUUACUGUGCCAGAUAAGAUUUUAGUAGAAAAUUGAUAUAGAAAGUUUUGCGGUAAUUGCGGUUGCUUUGAGAGUAGGGACUUGAAAGGUUGGAUUUAUUUAUACAGAAUUGAGCUAUAGGGAUAGGACAGGCCAUAGAGUAACAGAGAGUGUAGUGUAGCAAUAAUGAGGCCAAUAUUGCGGAACUGAUUGUUCAUAAUUUGAUGGGGACUCUGACCUACUGCUACAAUCUAGUCCUCAAAACACGAGGCUCAUUGUCUCCAUUAAUCAUUGAAUUUGAAACGACGAAAACAUGAAUAACGAUAACGUAAAUCCAAAAUGCAUUACAUUUUCACAUUAGUGUUUCAAUUAAAUUGCAUUGUUGGCUUGUCAUUCUUGGGGUUGCAUUUUCAAAAUGAGAAGCAAAUUGAAACCCUAAAAAUGGAAAAUCCAUAAGUGUAGACUGAUAUUAACAUACUAAACAGAAAGUUCUACAAUUUUGUUCGCCAACACAAGACAAGGACUCAACACUUGCGCAACUACAUAUUAUCCCACAAAAGUUUUACAAACUGCUGUAAUGGAAGCAUGUCAGAUCGAGCAUAUAAUCAAUUAGGCCCAGCCCAAGCCAGCAUCUAUCCUCAAGUUUCCGGAAAAUUGGAAGGCAGCAAAAUGCUCCCAGCUCUGUGAUAAGCUAUAGAUUCACCGUCUGCAUCAGAAAAACAUAAAAAAUGUGAAAUGCAAAAGAGUUAAAAGUUUCGAAAUCCCUCAAAUACGGUACAAGUAAAUUAUAUGGCAGAAGAAAGGAAUAAACACGACUCCAUGUGUGUUAAAGUGAUGAAUUAUGCAUCUGCAACUUUAAUUGCCGUUAUUUAAAAGAUCAGGCACCACCCGGAUUUUGUCUCCAGCCCAACACUCCAGAAGCUUAUUAUGUGAUGGCUAAAUUUCUUAUGAUAAUUCAGCUUAAGAACCGAUGUAUGAUCCCCUAAGCAACACAAUAGAUAUAAAUGUGAUCUAGAAUUGAAGAAAUUGUUGGCAUGUCAACUUUGAAAUCAGCAAAGAUGUAAAUCUUGGUUAUUUUACCAAAUCUAUAGAGCUCUCAUCACAUAAUCAGAUAAUUGGACACCAAAUUCGAGGUCUUGUUUAAUGGCCAUGUAGUUAGUAUUGCUUUCUUUGCAAUUUUUAUUUUGUCAUGCUUCGGGACUUGAUUCAAUCACUCAAUAUGGAAUACUUAAAUAUUAAAAUCCAUAAAAUAAUCACUUCAACAUUAUAUUCAUAACUCAGUCCAUUUGUUGUAUAAAUUUCUGGAUUCCAGUGACCGAAGCUUAAAGCAAGAACAGGGAUGAUACUUUUUACGGAGUGAUAAUCAAAGUCCAUGCUCUUCAGUCAGAUGCUACCACAAGCUGCAACGUGUUGCUUUAAUUAAAAUUCCACUCUUACAGACUUAAAACACAAACAUCUACAUAUUUACAAACAAUAUAGGACAAUAUAGAGUUUAGUGCGAGCAUUUGGAAUGUGCUUUGUGCCAGUUAUAAAUGCAACUCCGCUAUUCCUGCUCUUGUUCAUUUCCUCUUUCACAUACUAGUAAUUCAUAUGAGCAUGCAAUCCAGAAAUAAACAUUAGGAACCAUAUAAUCAUGUUUCCAUGAGAGGUCCAGAAAAACAGAAAUCAGUAAAAAGGGAUUUAACAAAGAACAAAACCUACAAUGGCUUACUAUGGCAGGAAGCAAUAGCAGCUGGGGAAAUGCUAACCACUUUUAUGGUUUGUUCAGCCAACUUCACAUGCUGAAAAAUGCCAACAGAUGACAACCCAAGCCGUUGUUAUCUGUUACUGCAACUGAUUAGUAAUACAGUUUCCAAUCACCAAGAGGUCAGAUGAAAGCAAGGAAAAUGCAAAUAAAUUGAAACAUGAAUCAGACUGUCCAUUAUGAAAGGCUUGAUUUAUUGGAUAAGAAUAUGACAAACAGAUCCCAAAAACAGAAGUCAGAAAUCAACAGAUGACAACUAAUGACUUAUUGAGUCAGUGAACCACAAUAAUCAUACACACAGAGGGGUACUUGGCAUCAAAUCCUAAAACCUUGUGGUCAAUAGUCAAUUAUACUCACAGGUGAACCAUGUUGACCAAAUUUUUUAUGAUAUAUAAACGCUUAACUGGAGAGAACCUCCCAGACUUCACUAAGAGCUGACCAACUAUCCAAUGAGUGCACACAAUGCACCAGAACCGACUAAAAUGCACAGAAUAGGAAACCUAUUUCAUAAUUUCUGUACUUCCAUAAUUUUUAUCCAUGAUUCGCAGGACAUCAUCUGAGCUUCAAUGAUCUCAAACUUUUCAUUGUGGGGGAAAAGGGACACAAGCAUAAAUAGCACUAUGAAUGCAACCAAAAAGGGAACAAAAUCAUUACUUCUAAGUGACGACCUUGAAUCAAAGAGGCUUUAAAACAACAAUCAGCAAGCAAGGGGAUAUUUUGCAUGAUGAUCUGCAGUGGGUUUGAAAAAAAACCUUUCAGCAUCCACAUAUCAGGUCAUGCUGUGCAGCCACAAUAUCCUGGUCUUAAAUCAUUCAACUCAGGUAUCUAAGGCUAACAGGUCGCCCAAAAUGGAAGAAUCCGGCCACCACAUGAAUAAGCAACAUCAGCGACUCAUCGUUGACUAUCCUAUUAAUGUUCCUCAUUUUAAACCAAGAGAAAAGGUGUCAAACCCCAACUCAUCUGCUGACAUUGGGAAGUGAGGUGUGCAAGCCUCCAACUUCGGGCCUGGAAAAUGCAGGGGAAGUAUCAAUAAUUUCCUCAUAUGAAAAUAAUCACAGUACCAAAUUGUACAAAGGAUAUCAAUAUUUAAAAAGUAUCAGUCCCAUAGAACAUUCAUAUCCACGAGAAAGCAUGGAACAACUCCCUUACUAACUAAUUCCAACUUACUCAACCCUGGUUAAGGGGAUCAAAUGACAGAAAGAUGCAAAUGAUAGGCAAAUUAAAAUGACAGCGAGAAUCAUAAGAAUAAUCUUCUCUGCCCUUUGGAGAAACAGUAACUUCCUUUAUAUAAUAUAAGCGCACAGGUGUAGGCAGAAGAAUCACAUGGUCAAGCAUACAUCUGUGUGCCUACAACUCAAAAGUACAACAUGGUCGGAAAUUUCAAUCCUCGUAUAUCUCAAUAUUUAUUUUGCUAAACUAAAAAAGAUGAAGGACGUCAACUGAUACAAAUCCAAAAAGAAAGAAAGAAAGAAAAAGGGAGAGUAAGAAAACAUUGUAGAUGCACAUGGAUGAGCUCAGAAAUAUUAAUUGCAAAGUUUAUGUUACAUUAAUUUCGAACUAGACCACUAUAUGCAUAAAACCAAAAACCAAGGAUUAACAAGACAAACAAUAUUUUUCAUUUAUCCUGCAUCUUACAAUGAAGUGGGGCAAUCAAGGAAAAUUUUUAUCAGAUUCUACAACUAGAAAAGAAUAAUUUGACAAAAAGUAAAUCCAGAUUUUCCUAUCAUCUAAUGGGAAUGCUAUUAUCAGCAGAAACUAAGCUUCUUAACUCCAUUAAAUGUUCAUCAUUUGAUAUAUGGAGUGAAAGACGAAGAUUUGUAACCAAUGCUUCUUGUUCCCAGCUUAGUGGACCUGACGCAUGCAAUGCCUCCAUAGUGCAACGGUACGCAUGCAAUUCUAACCUAUGGAUUUCAGCCGCCAAAUCCUCUUUUCUUGGAAGGUGACAAUUUCCUUCGUCAUAUGCCAAAUGACAAAAAGAUUCAGCAUCACUAAAAUUACCAUUACUGUCUUCUGUAGGACCUGCAGAAACAUGACGAGGUAAUUUAUAGGAAUUAUUGAUACUGAUACUACAACUACCAACAGAGCAUGCAACACUAUGAGCAUCAUUUGAAUCUAAGUUCAUUGCUAAUGAACAUCCAACAGCUGCACUUGAUCUUCUCCUCUCCACUUCCCCAUCACAAAACCCAGUCGUUCCAUCGUUAAAAAAAGGAUGCAUGUUACUUUCAUCCUGCAUUUCUCUUGGAAAAGCAACAGCAUCUGCCUGCUCAGGCAACAAGGAUCGAUUUGCAGCAAGCACCCGGAGCAACCUGCCAUCUUUGUCGACCGCUCUAAAUUUCUCUGCAGUUCCAGUUCCUUCAACCUCAGAAUAAUGAUAAGAAGACCCUCUUUUCAGAAUUCUAGAUGAAACAAUAUUGGAAAUGAUAUUCACUCUGUUCUUCACAGGAAAGCUUUCAUCUUUUGUGUGAAGAUUAAUCCUCGUGUUCGACUUCUUAGUUUGGAAGCUUGAAUUUUGGCAGUACUUCAAAGUUGGACUUUUGUAGUACUUCCCAUCUUCACGACUGCUAGAACCCUGAAUACAGAACCAAAAUAAAUGAAGAUUUUGAUUAAUAAUUUAAUUAUACUCGAUAUAUCAUUUAGUCAUCUGUAGAAGAUGUACAGCAGUUGAAAAUUACAAGAAGAUCCAUAUCACUACAAUCCCUAGAUAAAUUGCACAGUUCAAAUAUUCAACUUUGAACUCAACUUCAAGUUCACUCUAUGAAAGUACUGAUGAAUAUCAGAAGAUGUUAACCAAGUACAACAUGAAUGUUCAACAGAAAUAAAAGAAAUAAAAUGCAUACAAGAAGUACAUUGACAUUGCACCAUGUGUGAACAAGGAACUGCAAAAAAUAAAUCAAUACAUAGCUUAGUAGAAGAAACAGAGUCAGACAAAAAAUACCUCUCCUACCACAAUCCACUUGUCCUCCAGCCAGGAUUGUCUCACCCGAAUGUCAAAUUUGCUGACUUUGAAUUCCAAGGAAGAUCCAAGUAACCUAACCAAAAAGUACUUUUUCCCCAGGAUCUUUGAAAUUGUUGCCAUUUUCCAAGAAUAAUUGUUAAACACUUCCACUACAUCACCAGGAACCCAAUAUUCAGAAACGUCAAGUGAAGGAGGGCAUGGCCUGAUGGCCUUCCUGGAUACCCUCUCAAACACUGUCUUGUCAGUAGAAGCUGCAUCCCCAUCAUACCUAACAGUGUAGUUGUGGCCAUUUCCACAAAUUAUCUCCCCACAACGCCAGGAGCCCGAGGGCACCUCCUUCUGGCUUAAAACUUCCACUUUAUCUCCUUUCUUAAACCUCAUUGGUGCUGUAUUAUCACCUGAAAUCCCAAUGUUUCCAAAUCUGCAGCAAAACAAAGUGACUGAAAUAAGAAACAAGAAGCACGCCAGAAGAUAGCAUAACAAACAAUGAACAAGAUUCAUAUAACAUGAUCAAAAUGUUAAGUUUUGUAGACAAAUGAAAUCCUCAGAAGAAAUUAAUCGAUUAGAAGACAUUGAUCUUAAUCAUGUAUGACUGAGAUUUAUAAGAUCAAAUUCAAAUCCACCAUGCAACAAUACGGCUGCAUUUAGUAAUGUGAAGGUCUUCAAUAUCUCUUUUUUGCCAAAGAAACAGAGACUUACAAAAAUUUAAAUGCAGAACUCAACAAUGGAGACCUUAAUAGGAAAAUCAAAGAACAAAAACAAUACUGAAGCGAUCAGUCAAAGCAGAUUCAAUGAUCAGAAAAUGGAAACGGCACUACAUACACACACUUACAGCCUCUGAUUGGUUGCUGAGAAAAUGCAGGAAAAAGAAAAAGAAUCAAACUGAUCAAAGAAAUCAAAGAAAUCUUAAAUAAACAAAGCUUAAAAUAAACCGAGCUUCAAAUAAGUGUUUUUACUAAGUUCAAACUCUUUUAUAUUUAAAAAAAUAAAAAAUAAAAAAUGCUGAUGUUUCUUUCUUUCAGUAUCCUUCCGUUUUUUUUUUUUUUUCUCAGCAACCAAACAGAAACUGAAUUAUCAAAGAAAACACAAAACAAGGAGUAAACAAGCAAAAUUUAAACUUUGCGCAGUAAACAUUAAUAAUCCAAACAAAGAUAAUAAAAAUUAAACGCAAAAUCAGAUCCUAAAAGUUAUAAAAAAAAAAAAGAAAUUAACUGAAUUACGAAACAGAAAAAAAAAGGAACAAAAAAAAAAAAAAGAGAGAAGAAAAAUUGACUGACCUUGUAUCGAUUGAAGAGAAACGCUCGUCCGGUUUUAGAUUAUUGCUGUCGUUGUUUUUGAAAGAGUUUUUUCUUUUUUGUUGUUUUUAUUAUAUUUGUGGUUUGGUUAUUUUUACGGGAGCUUUUAUGUGUAUUUUUAGUAGGCUUAAGUUAAUAGGAUCUUUCUUUUUCAAAAAUAAAAAUAAAAAUAAAAAUGCAGUACAAGAAAGAUUAUAUUAUAGCGAAUUAUUCUUAUUUAUGUACUUAUAUAUAUAUAUAUAUAUAUGUAUUAAGUAAUUUAUUAAUAAAACAAAACCAAAAAAAAGGGAAUAUGGCAUGGCUUCUCUGCCAAGUUGCCAAACCGCCUAAGAAUAGCUUGUUGAGUUGGGAUUAACUGUUCCCUCUUAUCGUGUAUUAGCACUCUCUCUCUCUCUCUCUCUCUUAUUUUUUCAUGCUUUUGGAUUAAUUAUGUUAUCCACAUUUUCCUUUUUUUUUUUUGGAUUAAUUAUGUUAUCCACAUUUUCCUUUUUUUUUUUUUGUGAAUGGGUUGAAUCUAUAUGCAUUAAAACUUAUUCCAGAGCUACAUCGAGUAUGGUUUGAAAAUUUGUGCCUAACCUCAUAUCAUAAGAAGAUAUAAGAGGAGGCUCGAACAUCACUCGACCGACCAGAAGCUUGAGUGAUAACGUUUGAAAUGUUUUUGGAUUAGAAGAUAAUAAUUAACUUAUUUCUUAUUAGGAAUUCAUUAUUUUCAUUUUGUAUUUUAAUUUCUAGUGAUGCUAAUUUUUAAUAGAUUUUCUGAUGGAUUAUAUUUUAAUUGACAUCAUAAUAGCGUCGAUACUAAAUUAAAUGUUGAGAUUAGCUAAUGCGUCUUACUAAGUAGUAAUACUUUGUUUCUCGAGUAAUAUAAUGAUAAAUAAUGUGACAUUUAUAUUUUAAAUUAAGAAAAAAAUUUCUUCUAAUCGUGAGAGGAGUGAAUUACAAAACUUUUGUUUUCGUCUUUGAGAAUAAAUAAUUUAUCCGUUAUUAACAGACAGGUCUACGGGUGACUUUCUUUUGUAAGUCUGAUCUUUGUGGUGAGCUUUAUCCAUAGAUUCUUAACAAUUAAUGUCGAAGCAAGCACCGAAUCGAGCAUGAGAUUAGGUGCACCAAAUCGAGCACGACAUUAUGCUGGGUAUGGGAUCAAUAUUGCUAUGGCUUCGUGAACAUCCAUUGCAGAGCAUCAAUGUUAGAAUCAUCAAUCUCACAUGAGCCAAACAUAAUUAAUUACCUAAAGGGGAACUUAGGCUGUUUUUUCUAAGUUGCUUUUUAAGGGUGAGUUACACUACACAAUGAGUUCAAAAAAAAAAAAAAAUUGCUAUUUUCAUACAACAAUGCGUGUAAGUGUGAGAUAGUGUACCCAAGCAUAAAAAGGAAAAGAACCCAUGUUGAAUUGGUCAAUAAAAAGGGAAACAUAGUUUCAUGAUCUUAGAGUUAGAGUUAUAUGAUAGUAUUUUCAGUAUCAAAUUCUCAAAUUUAUAAUGACCCUUACCUUACUCUCAGGUGCGUGUGCCCGUAUUUUUUUAAUACGGAUAUUUUCUUAAACCGUGCGGUUUAAAAAUUACAAAUUUUGUGUUUAUCUUAAAAAAAUAAGAACGCAUACACUAGAGAAAGACUAUAUAAAACACAGCUUCUAAUGUAUUGAGAUUUAUAUUUUUUUAUAUUUUAGUUACAAAGUGUGGAUGCCACUAAAAGAUAAAAAAAAUAAAUAUUUCAAUACCCUCAUUUUAACAAAAUUAAAAUGUCCUCAGAUUUUAUAUAAUAUUGAAAUAUGUGACUGAUCAAUUAAACAUUCAUUUAAUGAUAAAAAAAAAAGUGUGGUCAAGAUUGUUUUUUUUUUUUUGAUUACAUGAGACUAUUGCUCAGAUUACAACUCAUAUACAUGAGACUAUUACUGAUAUUUACAAAUCAGACUAUUACUGGGACCAACUGACAUCAAUGCUAAUGGAGCUCUGCCCAGAUUUUAACCCUCACAAAUAUUCGAGGGAUGUCUACUCCUCACUCAUGGGUAAGGGAGAAGACUACCUUCACUCAAAUUAAUUGAGGAAGGAAAUACCCCCACAAUGCUUUUGUGGGGGUUCGAACUGCUGCCCUCCAAGUUGGAGGGCAGCAGCCCUGGCCACUCGGGCUGCUUUUGUGUGGUCAAGAUUGUUGCUAAUAAUACAACAACGAAAUUUCAACAGCAGCCAACCGGGUAAUUGCCUUAUUUUGACUGAUGGCAUUAGGCUUCUGAACAUGUCAACCAACAAUCGCGCAAUUAUUCACAUCAUGUGUAUCCAAUGAAAAACAGUCAAGAGGGUCAUGACCAUAUAGCCUAUGAAAAUAACACUUUUUCUUUUCUUUUCGUUGUUAUUAUUUUAAGGGUUAAUUUCGCCUUGCCCCCUGAUGUUUUAACAUUUUCCACCGCACCCCCAAAUGUUUCAACAAUCGCCACCCCACACCCAAAUCCAUAAAUUUGACUGUUUAUUCUAAUGACCAAAGGAUAAAUUUGAAAAUUUAUGUCCUAAAUAUUAUUUGGUGAUGAUAAAUUAAAUUUAUUUGAUAAUUUAAUUGAUGGAAUUAGUGUGUAAUUAGCUUUAAUUAAGAAUUUUUAAUAUAAAUAUCAAUUAUUAGAUUAACAUUUUAUGUCAUUUAAUUCUUCUUCAAUUCAAGAUAAGAGUCAUUUCUGAUAUUUACUUAAAUUUUAAACAGCUCCAUUAAAAAUAAUGGUCAAACUAACCGAAAUGGGGGUGGGAUAGAAAUUGUUGAAACAUUUAGGGGUGAAGUGAAAAUGUUAAAACAUUUGGGGGUUGGGUGGAAAUAACCCUUAUUUUAAAAAUUAAAGUAGUGCAAGUUUGAAUUGAUCUUUUUAAUCCUUACCACUCUCAGAAAUUUGGAUAUAGACCACCGAUCAAAUAACAUUAUUUCAAAAUCACUUGGUUAAAUCCGAAAUACCACUUCAGUUCUUAAUUUUUUUUAUUUUUACCAUUUUGGUCUUUUAUUUUUUAUUUUUAUAUUUAAUUACCCAUAACAUCAUUGACACUAAAAUAUAUAGUAUACAAGAAAGAACAUGCUUGUUGGGUUUUUAAGUUACUAUCAUAUUUGUUGAAAAAUCCAAUGUAAUGUGCUUGUCAAAAAAGAUUUUGUAAAGAAAUGGAUAUUAUAGGCAUUUGAAAAGUAGAUUAGGAACUUAACUGUCACUCUACAAUAAUAUAAAUAAAUUACCCUAAAUCAAAUGAAAGGUUUGUGUGUGCAUUUGGGUUUUGUGAACGGUUGGCAAGUUGUAUUCGAGUAAAGUUCACAAAAAGUGAUAAUAAUCAUAUAAGAAAAUAUCUUGGAAGUAGUAAACGUGCCUUAAAGGCAUUAAUAUUGGAUAUACGUUUCCUCUUAGAUAUCCCCAGCCAGCUUAAUGGAUCUCCAAGCUUUUUAAAUAAUUUGUCUCACUCUUCGCUCCCCCACCCAUUCUCUUUCUUUUAACACAAUAUUUCAUUUUCAAGCAAACAAACAAAUAACAAAAGGCAAUAUUCUUGUGCUAAAGUUAGAGAUCAUCCCUUUAUUUUUUCUUUCUUUUGGGUUUGGUUGUGUAUGUGUUGCUUGUAAACAAGAUUCUGCUUGCCCUGAAAUUGAGGCAUGAAUCAUGUUCAAGCUGUUAUGUACAUAGCUCACGGCCUUGCUUGAUUGUUUCUAUGUUUUGCUUUUUCUUGGGAAUACUUUUCAGCUCACAAUAAAAAUAACAAUGCACGUAAUUUUUUUCUUUCCCAUGUACAAUAGGUUACUAAAUGAUAAUAUUUGAAAAAAAUGAAAAUAAAAAAAGCACUAUGGAAUACAAAUGUUUCGUAAAAAAAGUACUUUCAAAUUUCAUUGUAAAUACGUGCAAGUUUUAAUUUUUUAUCCCUAUUUUAAAGACACAAUUAUAUAAUUCAAGUAUGAUAGUAACCAAAAAAAAAAAAAAGGAUGUAAAGAUUUUGACUAUUUUGUAGAGAAAAAUGAAUAUAUAAUUUAUCAAUUUAGUUGAAAAGUCGAGAAUUUUUUUUUAAUAAUAAUAUAAGAAAGAGAAUGACUCCUACACAACGAACCUUUCAAAAUCUCAAUUAGACAAUUGUUCUUUGAAAUUAUAUUGAACGAGUUGAUUCCCACUCCCCUCCCCCUCCGUUUGUUUUAACUACUUAUCCUUUCCUAAUUCGAAAGGAAAGAAACGUACUACGUGAGGCCUUGCCAACUUAUAGGGAGGACCCAUAUUCUUGCUCGGUCAAGAAGUCUAAAAUUUUGCAUUUCAAAGUACUUUCAAAACUCCCAUGAAUUACAUGCGGCCCAGCUUAUCUAUCAUUCGGAUAAAAUUAUGGUGCAAUUGUGGUACCGUGCUAGAGUUGCACCCAACUGUUGGAUUCUCAUCUAUUUAAGUAGACUCUAUUUAUUUAAGUGGAUCUAACGACUGGUGCAACUGUAGCACGAUAUCACUGUUGCACUGUAGCCCGAUCCCGUUCAUUCAAAUGAAAUUAAUUAUCGAAUAUAACACUAUAAAUCUCAUUAAAAAAAUGCUAUAUAUAUAUAUCAACAGUAAAUAUCCACUUUAAUUUUUUGUUUCCAAAGAAAAUGAGCAGAAUCUUGUGUGGCUUAUUUUUUUUAAUUAAAAUCUAUUUAUAUAUAAACGUAGGGUAUAUCUUACCAUCAUUUUCUAUUUUGGCAAAUAAAUUAUGUACAGAUCUUAAAACUCCCAUGAAUUACAUGCGGCCCAGUUUAUCUAUCAUUCGGAUAAAAUUAUGGUGCAAUUGUGGUACCGUGCUACAGUUACACCCAACCGUUGGAUUCUCAUCUAUUUAAGUAGACCCUAUUUAUUUAAGUGAAUCUAACGACUGGUGCAACUGUAGCACGAUAUCACUGUUGCACUGUAGCCCGAUCCCGUUCAUUCAUGUAAUUAAUGAUGGUGGGCUAAUAGCAGUCAUGAUGACAAUGAUGAUUGGUAGCAUUCUUAUCUUAAUGAUUGUUAUUACUACAGAAUAUAGAUCGACCUCAUUAUGGCGCAAGUCUUUCAAUGUUCAUCAAUCGUAUUCGCUGACAGAAUUUUGAUUGCAACUUUGCCAACACCAGCCACCGCCAAUCAGUUUCAUGUCCCAUUCUAAAUCGUAAAUCGAAAAAGACACAUCCCAUUUCUUACUUUUGGUAAUUGGUAGAUAAAUCAUUUCUGACCGUUUUCAGAUUAAUUUAACCAACAGGGACUAGUCAGCAGUUACUCUUUUCUAUGUGACGUGUCACAUGCCAUUUGUUUCAGAAUUGUGAUGACCGAAUCUGGGGUGACUUCAUUAAUGGGCCAAAGUGCUUGAACAAGUCCAGCCCAUGAAACAAUUAAUGGGCCUUGUUGGCGACGUGUGGCUAAAGAAGUAAAAGGACGAAAUGUCCUCUUAUUUUCAAAAAUGAGAACGAGUGAUCGCACACUGUCCCUCUUGUCGUUGAGAUAUUUGAAAGACAGACGAGAUGACGUUUGUAGAGUUUAGCAUAGACGAUACGUCGUUUAAUACGCACCCAAAACCCACCAACUAAUGGUAGCAAAUUACAAUAACAUCCAGUUAAAAAAAAAAAAAAAAAAUUUACAAUAACAUCAUCGAGGUCAGUUAAUUCUAUAGUUCGUUCAACUUUCAACUGCAUUAUUGAAAUUAAAAAAAAGGAGUACAUACCCAAAUUCUGUAUAGAAGAAUAUAAAAUAUAAUAAUAAUAAUAACAGCUUAAUAAGAGUGUGAAACAAGAGUACUCGUUCAUCACAUGAGAAUAUGAGGGUAUCAAUGAAUUAAUCGGCUAAUUACCUGGAAGAGAAAAGAGCCAGAGAAUUAAAGCACAGAAAAUGAGUAGAAGUGGAAUGAGAUGAAUAGCGUUCUCUCCUAAAGACGACUUCCGAUGCAUAGCUGCCAUUUCCUUCUUGGUGGCAUCAGAGAUGGGAAUAUUAGCGUACGUUGGCAAGUCACGAUCGUGGUCGGACGCUAAUAAAGGAGACGAAGAGGCCAUGGUUACACCUAGAGAAGCUGGCAACAUGUUGACCAUGAACUCAUCUGAGGCUCUCGAAGUACUGCUCGAUGAUCUAUGCAUCCUGAUCGACCGGGUCCUCAGAAAGAUAAAAAGCAAACACGUGCAGAGUUGUAAAGAAACUUUACAGAUCUUAUCUUAUAUAUCUAACAGGAGCACUGGCUUAAUUAGUUAGCUUGUGGGGAUUGAGUAAGGAAAACAAAGCCUCAAGUUAAGUUAAGGAGAGAAAUAAACAACUUUGCUUUCAUAGCCAAACAAUGCUGUAGGAGAGAGAGAGAUAGCCAGAUUGGGGGUUGGACUUUGAAUGAGUUGACAAAUUGAAAAUUUUGUGUGAUUUUAUUUAUUUAUACAAUAAUUAGCAGGAAAGCUGCUUCCGGCCUAAUUAAAGCCCAUGCAUGUGCAUCUGUGUGCAUGCGCAUGUGAAAUUUAAUCACGGAUUUUAUAUUGAUCCUUAAGCGUGGGAAGUCGCAGCAAAUGGAUUUAUUUUGAAGUUUAAGGGUGUUUGUUGAUGACAACCAAGUAUGCAACAACGUCUUUUAACUUGAACCCAAAGAUGAAACUGGCAACGGCCAGCCAUCUUUAGCCGUCAAAAUAGAACAGCUUUGGCACAACGACGCUACUGCAAGUUGCCACUAGUUAAUGGUGGAUAUAUGUUAUGCAUAACAUAACUUUCGCCACCAGCUGUGCAUUUUAUUUUAUUUUAUAAAAAAAAAAAUCUCCACUUGCCAUGUUUCUUAUUCAUUCCUAGCACCGAGAAAGGCCAACCCAAUCUCAAUUUCUGCGUGCGAUGGGUACACAGUGCAUAGAAAGUCUG
rnacentral:lncRNA from 1 species